rnacentral:rRNA from 1 species
CGAACGGGUGAGUAACACGUGGGUGAUCUGCCCUGCACUUCGGGAUAAGCCUGGGAAACUGGGUCUAAUACCGGAUAGGACCAUCGUUUAGUGUCGGUGGUGGAAAGUUUUUCGGUGCAGGAUGAGCUCGCGGCCUAUCAGCUUGUUGGUGGGGUAAUGGCCUACCAAGGCGUCGACGGGUAGCCGGCCUGAGAGGGUGGACGGCCACAUUGGGACUGAGACACGGCCCAGACUCCUACGGGAGGCAGCAGUGGGGAAUAUUGCACAAUGGGCGCAAGCCUGAUGCAGCGACGCCGCGUGGGGGAUGAAGGCCUUCGGGUUGUAAACUCCUUUCAACCAUGACGAAGCAUUAUGUGACGGUAGUGGUAGAAGAAGCACCGGCUAACUACGUGCCAGCAGCCGCGGUAAUACGUAGGGUGCGAGCGUUGUCCGGAAUUACUGGGCGUAAAGAGCUCGUAGGUGGUUUGUCGCGUCGUCUGUGAAAUUCCGGGGCUUAACUCCGGGCGUGCAGGCGAUACGGGCAUAACUUGAGUGCUGUAGGGGAGACUGGAAUUCCUGGUGUAGCGGUGAAAUGCGCAGAUAUCAGGAGGAACACC